GAUGAAGAACGUAGCGAAAUGCGAUAAGUAAUGUGAAUUGCAGAAUUCAGUGAAUCAUCGAAUCUUUAAACGCACAUUGCGCCCAUUAGUAUUCUAGUGGGCAUGCCUGUUCGAGCGUCAUUAAGUCCACUUAAGCCCUGCUUAGUGUUGGGAGACUGCUCCAGCGGUGCUACCCUGUAGCUACCCUGCAGCUCCUCAAAGACAGCGGCGGAGUUGUGGUAUCCUCUGAGCUUAGUAACUUGUUCUAGCUUUCGAGUACACCACUUCCCCUGCCGUAAAACCCUUAAUUUUUAAUGGUUGACCUCGGAUCAGGUAGGAAUACCCGCUGAACUUAAGCAUAUCAAUAAGCGGAGGA
rnacentral:misc_RNA from 1 species